rnacentral:rRNA from 1 species
UCCGAGUUGUAAUUUGUAGAGGAUGUUUUGGGUACCGCCCCGGUCUAAAUUUCUUGGAACAGAAUGUCAGAGAGGGUGAGAAUCCCGUCUUGGACCGGCGGUAGGGCCUGUGUAAAACUCCUUCGACGAGUCGAGUUGUUUGGGAAUGCAGCUCAAAAUGGGUGGUAAAUUUCAUCUAAAGCUAAAUAUUGGCCAGAGACCGAUAGCGCACAAGUAGAGUGAUCGAAAGAUGAAAAGAACUUUGAAAAGAGAGUUAAACAGUAUGUGAAAUUGUUGAAAGGGAAGCGCUUGCAACCAGACUUGAGCGCGACGGUUCCCCUAGCCUUUUGGCUAGGUUACUCUGUCGUGUCCAGGCCAACAUCGGUUCUGAGGGUCGGUCAAAGGCUCCGGGAAUGUACCUACCCACGGGUAGACUUAUAGACCGGGGUGUCAUGCGGCCUCUCGGGACCGAGGAACGCGCUUCGGCUCGGAUGUUGGCGUAAUGGUUGUCAGCGACCCGUCUUGAAACACGGACCAAGGAGUCUAACAUCUAUGCGAGUGUUUGGGUGUCAAACCCGGAACGCGGAAUGAAAGUGAACGGAGGUAGGAAGCUUCGGCUGCACUAUCGACCGAUCCUGAAGUUUACGGAUGGAUUUGAGUAAGAGCAUAGCUGUUGGGACCCGAAAGAUGGUGAACUAUGCCUGAAUAGGGUGAAGCCAGAGGAAACUCUGGUGGAGGCUCGCAGCGGUUCUGACGUGCAAAUCGAUCGUCAAAUUUGGGUAUAGGG